rnacentral:piRNA from 1 species
UACAUAACAAAUUCCAGGCCACGCCAG